UACGUAGGGACCAAGCGUUGUUCGGAUUUACUGGGCGUAAAGGGCGCGUAGGCGGCGUGUUAAGUCACUUGUGAAAUCUCUGAGCUUAACUCAGAACGGUCAAGUGAUACUGAUGUGCUAGAGUGCAGAAGGGGCAACCGGAAUUCUUGGUGUAGCGGUGAAAUGCGUACAUAUCAAGAGGAACACCAGUGGCGAAGGCGGCGAUCUGGGUGGAUACUGACGCUGAGGUGCGAAAGCGUGGGGAGCAAACAGG
rnacentral:rRNA from 1 species